rnacentral:rRNA from 1 species
CGUGUAGGCGGCCACUUAAGUCCUGCGUGAAAUCUUGGGGCUCAACCCCGAGCGGUCGUGGGAAACUGGGUGGCUAGAGUGCGGGAGAGGAGAGUGGAACUCCUGGUGUAGCGGUGGAAUGCGCAGAUAUCAGGAAGAACACCCGUGGCGAAGGCGGCUCUCUGGAACGCAACUGACGCUGAGACGCGAAAGCGUGGGGAGCAAACA